CUACGGAGGGUGCAAGCGUUACUCGGAAUCACUGGGCGUAAAGCGCGCGCAGGCGGGCUGAUAAGUUGGAUGUGAAAGCCUACGGCUCAACCGUAGAACUGCAUCCAAAACUGUCAGUCUAGAGUCUGGGAGGGGAAGAUGGAAUUAGUUGUGUAGGGGUAAAAUCCGUAGAGAUAACUAGGAAUACCAAAAGCGAAGGCGAUCUUCUGGAACAGUACUGACGCUGAGGCGCGAAAGCGUGGGGAGCAAACAGGAUUAGAAACCCCAGUAGUCC
rnacentral:rRNA from 1 species